rnacentral:rRNA from 1 species
UACGUAGGGGGCAAGCGUUGUCCGGAAUCAUUGGGCGUAAAGCGCGUGUAGGCGGCUAUAAGUCUGCUCUGAAAGCCCGGGGCUCAACCCCGGGAGGCGGGUGGAUACUGUCUAGCUCGAGUCCGGAAGAGGAGUGUGGAAUUCCUGGUGUAGCGGUGAAAUGCGCAGAUAUCAGGAGGAACACCAAUGGCGAAGGCAGCACUCUGGGACGUGACUGACGCUGAGACGCGAAAGCGUGGGGAGCAAACAGG